GAUGAACGCUGGCGGCGUGCCUAAUACAUGCAAGUCGAGCGAACAGACGAGGAGCUUGCUCCUCUGACGUUAGCGGCGGACGGGUGAGUAACACGUGGAUAACCUACCUAUAAGACUGGGAUAACUUCGGGAAACCGGAGCUAAUACCGGAUAAUAUAUUGAACCGCAUGGUUCAAUAGUGAAAGACGGUUUUGCUGUCACUUAUAGAUGGAUCCGCGCCGCAUUAGCUAGUUGGUAAGGUAACGGCUUACCAAGGCAACGAUGCGUAGCCGACCUGAGAGGGUGAUCGGCCACACUGGAACUGAGACACGGUCCAGACUCCUACGGGAGGCAGCAGUAGGGAAUCUUCCGCAAUGGGCGAAAGCCUGACGGAGCAACGCCGCGUGAGUGAUGAAGGUCUUCGGAUCGUAAAACUCUGUUAUUAGGGAAGAACAAAUGUGUAAGUAACUAUGCACGUCUUGACGGUACCCAAUCAGAAAGCGACGGCUAACUACGUG
rnacentral:rRNA from 1 species